CCUACGGGAGGCAGCAGUGAGGAAUAUUGGUCAAUGGACGAGAGUCUGAACCAGCCAAGUCGCGUGAAGGAAGACUGCCCUAUGGGUUGUAAACUUCUUUUGUACGGGAGUAAACUCACCCACGCGUGUGUGUCUGAAAGUAUCGUACGAAUAAGGAUCGGCUAACUCCGUGCCAGCAGCCGCGGUAAUACGGAGGAUUCAAGCGUUAUCCGGAUUUAUUGGGUUUAAAGGGUGCGUAGGCGGUUUGAUAAGUUAGCGGUGAAAUCACGGGGCUCAACUUCAGAAUUGCCUUUGAUACUGUUGGGCUGGAGUGUAGUAGAGGUAGGCGGAAUGUAUGGUGUAGCGGUGAAAUGCUUAGAGAUCAUGCAGAACACCGAUUGCGAAGGCAGCUUACCGGGCUACUACUGACGCUGAGGCACGAAAGCGUGGGGAGCAAACAGGAUUAGAUACCCUUGUAGUC
rnacentral:rRNA from 1 species